rnacentral:lncRNA from 1 species
AGCAGAUCAGAGCUGGUGGAUCCACUCUGGAGAUGAACUGCUGGCUGUACCCUGCAAGCCAGUACAGGGAGGGCUUCUUUCCUUUCUGCCACACUGCUGUGGAGUUAACAACGGCAGAGUGCAUGGAAUUGCACAGAACAAAGUCUGGAGUAAGAGCGAGAUCAAGCCUGCGUAUGUCUCCCCAGGUUACCAUAACUGAAAUAGGUGUAGCAACCCAUGAAAGCCUUCACUCUGAGAAAUGCACUGUACCAUUUUAUCAUCUGGUACAAUAAGAUGCCAUCAUACAGUGAGAUCAUCCUUCUGAUCCUGUCCAGCUUCAAAAGAAGAAAGAAUUUCAUCUUUUCUAUCAACAAUUAAAAAACACGGUUUGAAGGAUCAUAGCCUGGAUGUAAUAGCCAGAUUCUUGAAAUUAAUUAACUGAGAAACUAAGUGAAUAAUUCAAAACAAAUAGCUUUCUUGACAAUCGACCCUCCAGCAUUCUUAGCAAUUUCACUGGGCAGAUCAUAUUGUUGUUGUCAUCUUUGUAUCAGAAUAACUAUCACUGGUUUCAACUUAGGUUUUCUUCUAGAGGAAGCUCAUGUCCUUUCAGAUCACUGUGAAUUGUGACUGCAUUUAUUUUGUGGAUAUUUUGUGGUUCUUUUUGUCCUGAUUUUUAACCUAUCAUCUUGGGUUUAGAGGUUUGGUUUGCUUUUUGAAAUACACCUGUUUAUGUGUAUACAGCAACAUCUUGAACUUGUUGAGGUGAGAACAAUUUAUUGUGCAGUCUUGUUCCAGCAUCUCAAGAAAGCUAUGCCCAAGCAUAAAUCAUUUCUAUCCUGAUUUGUUAGGUAUCUCCCUGUGCCAGAGAAGAACUGAUCUCAGCUGUAAUCUUCAUCUGACCUUUUAAGUGAUCUCUUAGAAGGGGUGCGUUGAGUCAAAAAGUAAGGCAUUUAGUUUCAUAGUUUUGUAGAGAGUAACCUGUAGAGGAGAGUUUUGAUGUAUUUUCAGUAUUUCUGAGAAUAUGUACUGAAGAAACAGUACAAAUAACUAGAGUGCUGAAGCCAUCUUUUAUUGUUGUAGUCCAGAGAUAACAAAUGCAUAUUUGAGGCCACUUCUUUAUCACUCUGAUGAGGAAUUGCAUAGGAAAUUAGGACAAGGAAAGCAUCAUCUCCAUUUCAGUAGUCUACUUAUGUAAGAUAUUAAAGUUAACAGGUGAAAGGGGAAAAACAGGAGACAAGACCGAUGUUAUGACUGGUCAGUCACGCAACAUCUAGUGGUGGAGCAAUAUUAAAACUUUGUUCACCGACAACUCCCUUCAAUAUCAGAGCCAUGGAU